rnacentral:rRNA from 1 species
AUUGAACGCUGGCGGCAUGCCUUACACAUGCAAGUCGAACGGCAGCACGGGAGCAAUCCUGGUGGCGAGUGGCGAACGGGUGAGUAAAGUAUCGGAACGUGCCCAGUCGUGGGGGAUAACGUAGCGAAAGUUACGCUAAUACCGCAUACGAUCUAUGGAUGAAAGCGGGGGAUCGCAAGACCUCGCGCGAUUGGAGCGGCCGAUAUCAGAUUAGGUAGUUGGUGGGGUAAAGGCUCACCAAGCCGACGAUCUGUAGCUGGUCUGAGAGGACGACAAGCCACACUGGGACUGAGACACGGCCCAGACUCCUACGGGAGGCAGCAGUGGGGAAUUUUGGACAAUGGGCGAAAGCCUGAUCCAGCCAUGCCGCGUGCAGGAUGAAGGCCUUCGGGUUGUAAACUGCUUUUGUACGGAACGAAAAGGUUUGGCCUAAUAAGCUGAGCUCAUGACGGUACCGUAAGAAUAAGCACCGGCUAACUACGUGCCAGCAGCCGCGGUAA